rnacentral:rRNA from 1 species
UGGGGAAUUGUUCGCAAUGGGCGCAAGCCUGACGACGCAACGCCGCGUGGGGGAUGAAGGUCUUCGGAUUGUAAACCCCUGUUGGGUGGGACGAACAUUUCCGUGGUGAAUAUCCACGGGAACUGACGGUACCACCUGAGGAAGCCCCGGCUAACUUCGUGCCAGCAGCCGCGGUAAUACGAAGGGGGCAAGCGUUGUUCGGAAUUACUGGGCGUAAAGGGCGCGUAGGCGGCUUACCAAGUCAGGCGUGAAAUUCCCGGGCUCAACCUGGGGGCUGCGCUUGAUACUGGUGAGCUUGAAUGCGGGAGAGGAUAGUGGAAUUCCCAGUGUAGAGGUGAAAUUCGUAGAUAUUGGGAAGAACACCGGUGGCGAAGGCGGCUAUCUGGCCCGUUAUUGGCGCUGAGGCGCGAAAGCGUGGGGAGCAAA